GUGAUUUUGAUUUAAAGUUUAAGAUUUAUCCUAGAGUUUAGGAUUUACCCAAGGGUUUAGAGUUUAGGGUUUCGGAUUUAAGGUUUAGGGAUUAGGAUUCAGGGUUUAAUGUUUUGCUGAUGAUGUUAAAAAUAUUUUUUUUUGUAAUUACUACUAUUUUUUAUUUAUUUAUUUUUACAUUUUAAUUUUAAAAAGAUAAUAUAAUUUGACAAUAUUUUGUUUCUUUUUUUAAAAGAUAUCGAAUUUGAAAUAAUGAAAUCUUAUUGGUUGGUGAACCUACCUAGGGGGUGAACCCAAGAAUAAGUUACGUUGGUGACCACUUGGGCUUGGCAAAGAGGCAGAGUUUCAA
rnacentral:lncRNA from 1 species